UUUCGGGCUAACGUGAACCCUACGUUUAUAUUUAUUGUCCUCCCUAGCGUGAAUACUACGUGGCUUGUCUCCUUGUCCUUGUCCUCAAAGUCACGCCGUGACCCACUUUCCCAAUUGGCACAGUCAUUGAGGAUCUUUUCUUUCUUUCUUUCUUUUUUAACUUUCUCUGUUUUCAUCAAUCAAUGUGAUGGUGGUUUCAUCUUUUCCAUUUCCAUAAGUCUCUGACAUCAACGCGUCUUUGAUUCUUUAAUAAUUUCCAAACUCUGAGAGGGAGUGAGACAGAGAGAGCUGGCUGCACGAAGUUCAUGGAUAUGGGGAGGUGGGGAAGGAAAUUACCAGGCGUUUUCGGUACACCUUCUUUCUUUCCCCAGCCACCCAUUCCGCAAAUUUCUUGUGGUUCCUCCCUACUCUCAUAUGAAUGGAUGUCCAAAAACCUGCAAUAUCUUUAUUCCUUUCUCUAUAUGUAUAUAGGGGGUGAUUGUUGAGAGAGGUGAAGGAGGAAGAGCGAAGGGGAAAGUGAGUUUAGGAAUUUCUUCGGAAUGGGAUGGCAGGAAAGAAAAUAAAUCUGUUCGUCAGAAACAUAUUUUUUCUUUCCUAGUCCUCCCAUUCCAUUGGUUUCCUGCUAUUCCUCCCUUUCGCUUACUUUUCCUGCUUGGGUUGAUUGGUUCAGUCUAUUUCGAUUUCGGGGUAUAUCAAGAAUGUUCUCGUCUUUUAGGAUUUGAUUCAAGUUGGAAACCAAGAUCUUAAAAUCAGGAGA